UCUUUCCUUCCCUUAUUUCCCUGUAUUUCUCCUUUGUACUCAUUGUCACAAUGACCUCGACCUGAAAAUUGAGCGUGUGUCUCUGCUGAUCUGAGCUCUGCAGUGCACCAGGAACCUGCAUCUUCCCCGCGGCAUCUCCAGGGCCAGGAUGACCACUGUCCGUGGUGGGGACACAAUAGCAAUGUUCUGAUGGAUGGGCUGAGGAUAAAGGAGACCCCAUGGGGUCAGUUCUGAGAGGGAAGGACAUGCCCUAGGUCUCCCGCAUCUGGAAGAGGCAUCGCAGGAAGACACCACAUCUACUUGCUGCUAAAACUUGGCCCUUGGUGACAUGAGUCCAGAUCAGGCAGACAGUGGCUGGAGGUGAGAGGAGAACUGGUUUUUGUCUGAAAUGUCUCCAGAGAACCCAGUCCAUGCCUCUGCCCCAGCCCUGCUAAAACAAGAGCUAGGCUCUUGGAGAGGACAGUUCCCCUUCCUGUGUGGCUGCUGCAAUGACAACCCUGUGGCUGGAAGGACCAGCCUCCUAGUGCCACACCCUGUGCAUCUCUCUGUCCUUCUGAGCACUGUGGUCUCCUCCAUCUGCACAACUUGGACCAAAGGGACCCUCCCCAAACCCACUGUCUGGGCUGAGCCAGGCUCUGUGAUCCCCUGGGGGAGGACCUUGACCAUCUGGUGUCAGGGGAUUCUGGAGGCCCAGUAGUACUGUCUGGAUAAAGAGAGAAGCUCAUCACCCUGGGACCAACAGAAACCAUGGGAGCCCAGGCACGAGGCCAAGUUCUCCAUCCCAUACAUGACAGAGCAACAUGCAGGGCGAUAUCGCUGUUACUAUAUGAGCCAUACUGGCUUCUCAACACUCAGUGACCCCCUAGAGCUGGUGGUGACAGGAGCAUACAGCAAACCCUCCCUCUCAAGCCCUGUGGUGACAACAGGAGAGAACGUGGCCCUACAGUGUGGGUCAUGGCUGGGAUUUGACAGGUUCAUUCUGACUAAGGAAGGAGAACACCAGCCCUCCUGGACCCUGGACUCACAGCUAAACCUCAAUGGGAAAUUGCCUUGUGAGAGGUGGUAUGAGGGAAGCACGGGGAUCCAGGACCAGAGACACAGAGGGGCCCGUACAGAUGCUGUGGUGAACACAACCUCUCCUCCAAGUGGUCAGCCCCAAGUGACCCCCCGGACCUCCUGGUGGAAGAUCAAGAGACAGCGGGUCAGUCAGGGACUCCAGAAGUGCACAGGCCCUGUAGGGGAGCCCCAGGUGGUGAUGUCAGGAAGAAGCGUGUGUGGUCUCCAGAGAGGAAGAGAGACAGAGAGACAGGGAAUUGAUGGGAGGAGACUCAGAGAAAACAAGACAGACAGAGAUGAGGGUCCUCAGAGAGAGAGGCCUGGGGACUCUCAGUUCAGAACAAGGUGGGUGGGCAGCCCCUCACCCACUCUUCCUCUCUCUAGGACAGCUCCCUGACAUACCCUCCCUCUUGUGAGGCCGGGCCCCACAGUGACCUCAGAAGAAAACAUGACCCUGGUGUGUCAGUCAUGCAGCUUGAGGGGCACUUUCUUUCUAUCCAAGGAGGGGUCAUCUGAUUCCCCCCCCUGCAUCUUAGAUCAAAUACCAAGCUCAGCAGUACCAGGCACAAUUCUCCAUGAGUCUUGUGACGUCAGCCCACAGGGAGACCUACAGGUGUUAUAGCUCCCCCUACCUGUUGUCACACCCCCGUGACUCCCUGGAGCUCGUGGUCUUAGGUGAGGGGCCCCUGUCCCUAUCCUUUCUGAGCUCAGUCAGCUCAGGGUCCUGUCCUCAGGAAAUCUGAGACAGUAAUAAAUGAGGGGCACAGGGGAAUCUCCAGAGAAGGGGAUGUUCAGGAGCCCCUGACUCCAACCUCCAAACCAUGAACUCUGUUGCCUCAGCUGUUCAGUAAGGGGGGCUCUCAGCUGUAGGGGAAAAAUUAUGCAUUCUUAUAUCUAAGACUGAGCAGAGGAUGCACAACACUCAUUAUUUCUGUGUUGGGAGACCUAAUCCAUAUUUCAUCCUAAUCGUUAGCUCUUGGGACACAGCCAUACUCUUCCAAAGCGACUCAGAUGCAGGUUCUGAAUUCAAAGAACAGGGACGCUGAGGGAAUUCCACCGAGGAGACCAGAGGGUACCUGGUGAAAGGAAAGACGGGUUCAUUAAGGGAUUAUAUCAAAGUUCAGAUAUGAGAAGUGGGGAAUAUGAGAGCAGAGAACCCAGGAAAAAGGUUUGUAUCUACCCAACUCUUCAUUCACUCCUUCAUUUUAUGAUUCUCAGAAGCAGCUGAUGCCAUCAGUCCAUCACGAAACAAGUCAGACCCCAAGAGUGCCUCACACCCCCAAGACUACACAGUGGAGAAUCUCAUCCGGACGGGCAUGGCUGGUUUGAUCCUGGUGGUCCUUGGGGUUCUGCUAUUUCAGCCUUGGCACAGCCAGACAAGGACCCAAGAUGCAGCCAGAGGUAAACACAGGAGAGAACAAUGCACUGUUCAGAAUGGCAGAACUUUGGAAAUGCAUCUUACGUGUCGAGGAGUUUCUCAGAGAAAGUCUGCAGCAUAUGUUGGUUGAACUGUCUUUGAGGAUCUCAAUGGAGUAAACGUGGUUUGGGUACAGGAAAAUGUCUAGGUGUUCCAAGUCUGGCAGUUCCUUGACUGCCCUCUCGUCUUUUCUCACCACUGAAACAUGGGGUACGUCUCUCACCUUUAUCCACCUUCAUGUUCUGGUCCACUGGCUUGUAACACAUUUUUCUUUAUUUUUAAAUUCCACGUUCACUGAUGUGUGCUCUUGACCUGCAUCUCUUCAGCCCAGAAACAGAAUACUGUUUAAAUACCUGAAUAAAUGGGUGAAUAUCAAGUCCUGUUUGAAACAGAUAAAAACAAACCCAUUUACUAAAAUCCCCUCUAGACCUGUCAAACUCUUCUCUUUCUAUCAGAUGAUACCUGGUAUAGUUUCUUUAGGAAUACCACCAGUUUGAAUGAAUGUACUGGUGCUUGAAGAGACAGCUUGGUGGUGAGCUGGUAAACCAGCUUUAUUAAAAA